GAUAAAUUGGCCGAGUGUUAGGCAGUAGGCUGUAGUCCUAUUUACAUUGGUUUAAUUCCUUUAUUUAUCA
rnacentral:tRNA from 1 species